rnacentral:rRNA from 1 species
UGGGGAAUAUUGCACAAUGGGCGCAAGCCUGAUGCAGCCAUGCCGCGUGUGUGAAGAAGGCCUUCGGGUUGUAAAGCACUUUCAGCGAGGAGGAAGGUGGUGAGCUUAAUACGCUCAUCAAUUGACGUUACUCGCAGAAGAAGCACCGGCUAACUCCGUGCCAGCAGCCGCGGUAAUACGGAGGGUGCAAGCGUUAAUCGGAAUUACUGGGCGUAAAGCGCACGCAGGCGGUUUGUUAAGUCAGNUGUGAAAUCCCCGGGCUCAACCUGGGAACUGCAUUUGAAACUGGCAAGCUAGAGUCUCGUAGAGGGGGGUAGAAUUCCAGGUGUAGCGGUGAAAUGCGUAGAGAUCUGGAGGAAUACCGGUGGCGAAGGCGGCCCCCUGGACGAAGACUGACGCUCAGGUGCGAAAGCGUGGGGCAGCAAACAGGAUUAGAUACCCUGGUAGUCCACGCUGUAAACGAUGUCGA